AUGGAAGCUUUACCCCCAUCCUCUGCAUGUUCAGAUGCAUACAACCCUACUUAUUACAUCCUUUAUUGCAAAGUCACCAAACAAAGGUCUUUCCAACAAAAGGGAAAAAACCAAAAACCAACAAAGUACUAUAACAUACAUGCCAAAGAAGAUCACUCUGAAUACCAAGAAAUCUGUCAUCGACAACAUCUCAUAUUUAUCUCAUCUUUUUUUUUUCAAGAAAAUGCAAAAGCUUUGUGUUUUGAUGCAUUGUUAUCAAGAAUUUGUACAAGCCCAAAGAAGGGCACACCCGGUUUACAACACGGCGCCCCUAGCCGCUAG
rnacentral:rRNA from 1 species